ACGAGAGGAUUUGGAAGGACGUUCCUCUGGUGUUCCAGUUGUCACGCUAGUGGCACGGCUGGAUAGCUAUGAACGGAACGGAUAAACGCUGAAAGCAUAUAAGCGUGAAGCCCGCCCCAAGAUCAGGUUUCGUAGGGCUUAUGCCCGAAAGUCCCCUGGAAGACGACCAGGUUGAUAGGCCGGACGUGUACGUGCAGCGAUGCACUCAGCUAACCGGUACUAACGGACGAACGCUUGACCACUC
rnacentral:rRNA from 1 species